AGAGUUUGAUCAUGGCUCAGGACGAACGCUGGCGGCGUGCCUAAUACAUGCAAGUCGAGCGGACUUGUAGGAGCUUGCUCCUGCAAGUUAGCGGCGGACGGGUGAGUAACACGUGGGCAACCUGCCUGUAAGACUGGGAUAACUUCGGGAAACCGGAGCUAAUACCGGAUGAAAUUAAGGGACUCCUGUUCCUUAAUUGA
rnacentral:rRNA from 1 species